rnacentral:lncRNA from 1 species
UUGAACGUGGGCAGCCCUUUAACUCAGCUGCGCACAUGUAGAGGAAACCGACUGAUUGGAAGGACUUUAAAAGUGAGCGAGGGAAGAGGUGAAAAUAGCUUAGUGUAUCGCCCAUCUUUUAAUCUCUCCCAUAGCCAGAUUUUAGUUUAGACUAAUUUGAGGUUAUGGGGGCAAUAGCAGGGGGCAAAAAAACUAGGUUGAAACCGACAAAGGCAGGGUGAUUCCAAUCCAAAAGGGUUGAUCGGGGUUCCUGCGACUCUUAGUCUGAAGCAGUUAGGAAAGCAAUGAUGUGUACACCGUUAAGAGGCUCUCGAAGUGACUACGUAGAAAUGCGAGGCCCCAGGCUUCCCACCUGCUUCCAGUCUUCCUUGUGUAGUGGUAUCUUGAGCUGGAUCCCAUCUGACAACCCAACCCACUCCAGGCUCCCUGAAGUCAUGUGCCUGCCCCAGUGCUCUGAUCUGCCCACCCUUGCUUGUUUUGCAAUGUCUUCAGCUAUCCCGUCAUGCCCAAAAUGUGAUUUCAAUUCAUAGCUUUUGUAUCUCCAAAAGCUUUGUCAAGUGUUUUUCCUUUGCUGUGUGCGUGACCACUUAAAUAUG